rnacentral:misc_RNA from 1 species
UUUCCGUAGGUGAACCUGCGGAGGGAUCAUUAUUGUAUAACCGAAGUCCGAAACCUGUCUCUACCCCCAUAGGUAGUGCACGCGCGAGUGCCCUCCCACACAUCGCUCCCACCCCUAUGCGCACCACCGCGUCGGUCCCCCGUUAGCUUGUUCGGAGCGGGGGUUACAUUUUCCGCCAAACUUUGUAUGCAGUGUAGAAUGUAUUUUUUGUCUUUGUGAUCACGCAAUAAAUACAACUUUCAACAACGGAUCUCUUGGCUCUG